rnacentral:tRNA from 1 species
GGAGAGGUGGCCGAGUGGCUGAAGGCAACGGUUUGCUAAAUCGUCGUAGGGGUACUUCUCCUACCGCGGGUUCGAAUCCCGCCCUCUCCG